AUGGCGGGUGGCACCAUCUCUUCCGUUAACACCGCAUCUUUCCAAGUCAUCUCCUUCAACCACCACACCUUCUCGUCAAUCUUGAUCUUGCGAUCAACGGCAACCGACCGCAACAGAGCCAUUACCAAUAUCUACGCCCCCUCCUCCCGCGCCCUCAAGCACUCUUUUCUUAGUGAGUUACUAGCUAUCGCCCAACCAGACGACUCACCCUGGCUUCUAGUGGGAGAUUUUAACCUCCUCUGUUACCCUGCCGACAAAAAUAACGACGUGUUUAGACAGUCCGAGGCCAAUGCUUUCAACCAAACUCUCAACGAUCUAGCUCUCAUCGAACUUUCGCUUCUCAAUCGCCAGUUCACCUGGUCCAACAAUAGAGCAACCCCCACCCUAGAACGGAUCGACCGCUCCUUCUUUAAUUUAGCCUAG
rnacentral:rRNA from 1 species